AACUUUAUAGGGACACAUAGAUACUAUAUAUGAACCUAAUGGUAGCUACAAAUCAAAAUCCUGUAAUAGAUACACAAAAUAUAAGGAGAAAGGAAUCCAAGCAUAUCACUUAAGAAAUCCAUCAAACCACAA